rnacentral:rRNA from 1 species
UACGAAGGGUGCAAACGUUGCUCGGAAUCACUGGGCGUAAAGCGCACGUAGGCGGCUUUUUAAGUCAGAGGUGAAAUCCUGGAGCUCAACUCCAGAACUGCCUUUGAUACUGGAGAGCUUGAGUCCGGGAGAGGUGAGUGGAACUGCGAGUGUAGAGGUGAAAUUCGUAGAUAUUCGCAAGAACACCAGUGGCGAAGGCGGCUCACUGGCCCGGUACUGACGCUGAGGUGCGAAAGCGUGGGGAGCAAACAGG